CCUACGGGCGGCUGCAGUGGGGAAUAUUGGACAAUGGGGGGAACCCUGAUCCAGCCAUGCCGCGUGUGUGAAGAAGGCCCUCGGGUUGUAAAGCACUUUCAGUGAGGAAGAACGCCUGGUGGUUAAUACCCAUCAGGAAAGACAUCACUCACAGAAGAAGCACCGGCUAACUCCGUGCCAGCAGCCGCGGUAAUACGGAGGGUGCGAGCGUUAAUCGGAAUUACUGGGCGUAAAGCGCGCGUAGGUGGCUUGAUAAGCCGGUUGUGAAAGCCCCGGGCUCAACCUGGGAACGGCAUCCGGAACUGUCAAGCUAGAGUGCAGGAGAGGAAGGUAGAAUUCCCGGUGUAGCGGUGAAAUGCGUAGAGAUCGGGAGGAAUACCAGUGGCGAAGGCGGCCUUCUGGACUGACACUGACACUGAGGUGAGAAAGCGUGGGUAGCAAACAGGAUUAGAUACCCCUGUAGUC
rnacentral:rRNA from 1 species